AGUGAAGCGGCAACAGCUCAAAUUUGGAAUCUGGCCCUUUCGGGGUCCGAGUUGUAAUUUAUAGAGAGUGUUUCGGGCGAGAUCACGGUCUAAGUUCAUUGGAACAUGGCGUCAUAGAGGGUGAGAAUCCCGUAUGUGACUGUGGAUUGAGCCCAUGUGAAGCCUCUUCGAUGAGUCGAGUUGUUUGGGAAUGCAGCUCAAAAUGGGUGGUAAAUUUCAUCUAAAGCUAAAUACUGGCUGGAGACCGAUAGCGCACAAGUAGAGUGAUCGAAAGAUGAAAAGCACUUUGGAAAGAGAGUCAAAAAGUACGUGAAAUUGUUGAAAGGGAAGCGCUUGCAACCAGACCUGCCCGUAGGUGAUCAGCCGCUGUUCUCAGUGGUGCACUCGCUCUGCGAUCAGGCCAGCAUCGGUUCGGGCGGUCGGAUAAAGGCCUUGGGAAUGUAGCUUCCUUUGGGGAGUUUUAUAGCCCUCGGUGCAAUGCGGCCAGCCGGGACCGAGGACCGCGCUUCGGCUAGGAUGCUGGCGUAAUGGUUGUAAGCGACCCGUCUUGAAACACGGACCAAGGAGUCUAACAUCUAUGCGAGUGUUUGGGUGUUAAACCCUUGCGCGGAAUGAAAGUGAACGGAGGUGAGAACCCAUAAGGGCGCAUCAUCGACCGAUCCAGAUGUCUUCGGAUGGAUUUGAGUAUGAGCAUAGCUGUUGGGACCCGAAAGAUGGUGAACUAUGCCUGAAUAGGGUGAAGCCAGAGGAAACUCUGGUGGAGGCUCGCAGCGGUUCUGACGUGCAAAUCGAUCGUCAAAUUUGGGUAUAGGGGCGAAAGACUAAUCGAACCAUCUGUU
rnacentral:rRNA from 1 species